UACGAAGGGUGCAAGCGUUACUCGGAAUUACUGGGCGUAAAGCGUGCGUAGGUGGUUUGUUAAGUCUGAUGUGAAAGCCCUGGGCUCAACCUGGGAAUUGCAUUGGAUACUGGCAGGCUAGAGUGCGGUAGAGGAUGGCGGAAUUCCCGGUGUAGCAGUGAAAUGCGUAGAGAUCCGGAGGAACACCAGUGGCGCAGGCGGCUCUCUGGGUCGGCCCUGACGCUGAGGCGCGAAAGCGUGGGGAGCGAACGGG
rnacentral:rRNA from 1 species